rnacentral:rRNA from 1 species
AGACAGCAGCCGCCGCGGGAAUACAGAGGGUGCGAGCGUUAAUCGGAUUUACUGGGCGUAAAGCGUGCGUAGGCGGCUUCUUAAGUCGGAUGUGAAAUCCCUGAGCUUAACUUAGGAAUUGCAUUCGAUACUGGGAAGCUAGAGUAUGGGAGAGGAUGGUAGAAUUCCAGGUGUAGCGGUGAAAUGCGUAGAGAUCUGGAGGAAUACCGAUGGCGAAGGCAGCCAUCUGGCCUAAUACUGACGCUGAGGUACGAAAGCAUGGGGAGCAAACAGGAUUAGAUACCCGCGUAGUCCCUGUCUCUUAUUC